UGAGGUAAGACAUGGUACUCUCCCUGUUGGGGCAAGACAUGGCACUCUCCCUAUGAGGUCCAAAGCAACAAGACCAAGUGUUUAUAUGUUCCGAGACCUAGAGCAAUCCUUUCCUCCUUAUUGGCUGAUUACCUCAGGUAGUCUGCAAUAGUAAUGAACACUGACAAGAAGUUGAUACCUACAAAGAAUCCUGGGGAGAAGGGAGCGUGAUGGUACAGAAUGAAGCAGAGGGAGAGGAGUGAGAGGAUUUCAGAAAUGGUGACUGUUGAAGGAAGGCAUCACGGCCUCUGUAAAGACCGAAACAUAGAUAAUGAAAUAAAUGGUUGUGGCUUCGGACAAAGAAAAAGAGAAUUCUAAUUGUAUCACGUAGCAAAAUAUAAUUGAGAAGCCUCUGCAGCAGAGGAUGGCAAUCAAUGCACAGGGGACUCCGGACAAAGUGUCAUCAGCAAUCCCAAGUGCGAAAUCCUCACACAUGAGAGUCUCACAUGUGACACUGCAGUAUCUUGGUUCUGUGGGGAAGAACUGGUUAUUCAAUAAAGACCACCAAUACAUACUCGGCUCCUGGGCCAUGUCAGCGAAAAAGCAAAGAAAAAGUUAGUUAUUCAACCCCAUGUCUACAGUAAUCUUAUCAUCAAACCCUACAGCAGUUAACAGUUUUCCAACCUGCCACUGCUUUUCGUGAAUGUGAGAUGCUGUUCUGGUGAAUUAUCAUCUGUGUGAGCCAAAGUUAGAUCUGUCCCCAAGUGAUACCUCAUACCGUACCAACAGUAACUUCUAGAGGAAUUCAAGAAAGACAUGUAGAGAAGACUGUGAAGAUGGAAGAAAUCUACAGCCAAAUAACCUGAGACUUGGCAUGGUCAGGGGAGGGAAAAAGAACUUGGGGAAACUCAGAAUAUUUUACCAUCAACAAAAGAAACUUCUUUAUACUGAAAAUGACAAUAAACAUGUAGAAGGGUAAGGAGACUGGAGGAAAGGGUUAUGACGAAAUGGAAACAGCAUGUAUGCAGCUAAAGACACUCAGAUUCAGGAUGAGUGGCUGAACACGAUCUCCAGCCUUCCUCCUGGAAGCCCAGCUACAACAGGACAACCAAGGGAUCUUAUCA